rfam:Eutrema salsugineum unplaced genomic scaffold scaffold_8, whole genome shotgun sequence.
AACCCAUGGUGAGGGCACUGGUUUGUAUAGCUCCUGAAUAUCUCCCAAGUUUCACCAAAUGUCUCAUUGUUGUGUUGGGUAAAGGAUGAGAUCUGAUUUCGGAGCUU